rnacentral:rRNA from 1 species
UACGAAGGGGGCUAGCGUUGUUCGGAAUUACUGGGCGUAAAGCGCACGUAGGCGGAUAUUUAAGUUAGGGGUGAAAUCCCGGGGCUCAACCCCGGAACUGCCUUUAAUACUGGGUAUCUUGAGCUCGAGAGAGGUGAGUGGAAUUCCGAGUGUAGAGGUGAAAUUCGUAGAUAUUCGGAGGAACACCAGUGGCGAAGGCGGCUCACUGGCUCGAUACUGACGCUGAGGUGCGAAAGCGUGGGGAGCAAACAGG